AUUGAACGCUGGCGGCAGGCCUAACACAUGCAAGUCGAGCGGUAGCACAGAAAGCUUGCUCUCGGGUGACGAGCGGCGGACGGGUGAGUAAUGUCUGGGAAACUGCCUGAUGGAGGGGGAUAACUACUGGAAACGGUAGCUAAUACCGCAUAACGUCGCAAGACCAAAGUGGGGGACCUUCGGGCCUCAUGCCAUCAGAUGUGCCCAGAUGGGAUUAGCUAGUAGGUGGGGUAACGGCUCACCUAGGCGACGAUCCCUAGCUGGUCUGAGAGGAUGACCAGCCACACUGGAACUGAGACACGGUCCAGACUCCUACGGGAGGCAGCAGUGGGGAAUAUUGCACAAUGGGCGCAAGCCUGAUGCAGCCAUGCCGCGUGUGUGAAGAAGGCCUUCGGGUUGUAAAGCACUUUCAGCGGGGAGGAAGGCGAUAAGGUUAAUAACCUUGUCGAUUGACGUUACCCGCAGAAGAAGCACCGGCUAACUCCGUGCCAGCAGCCGCGGUAAUACGAAGGGUGCAAGCGUUAAUCGGAAUUACUGGGCGUAAAGCGCACGCAGGCGGUCUGUCAAGUCGGAUGUGAAAUCCCCGGGCUCAACCUGGGAACUGCAUUCGAAACUGGCAGGCUAGAGUCUUGUAGAGGGGGGUAGAAUUCCAGGUGUAGCGGUGAAAUGCGUAGAGAUCUGGAGGAAUACCGGUGGCGAAGGCGGCCCCCUGGACAAAGACUGACGCUCAGGUGCGAAAGCGUGGGGAGCAAACAGGAUUAGAUACCCUGGUAGUCCACGCCGUAAACGAUGUCGAUUUGGAGGUUGUGCCCUUGAGGCGUGGCUUCCGGAGCUAACGCGUUAAAUCGACCGCCUGGGGAGUACGGCCGCAAGGUUAAAACUCAAAUGAAUUGACGGGGGCCCGCACAAGCGGUGGAGCAUGUGGUUUAAUUCGAUGCAACGCGAAGAACCUUACCUGGUCUUGACAUCCACAGAACUUUCCAGAGAUGGAUUGGUGCCUUCGGGAACUGUGAGACAGGUGCUGCAUGGCUGUCGUCAGCUCGUGUUGUGAAAUGUUGGGUUAAGUCCCGCAACGAGCGCAACCCUUAUCCUUUGUUGCCAGCGGUCCGGCCGGGAACUCAAAGGAGACUGCCAGUGAUAAACUGGAGGAAGGUGGGGAUGACGUCAAGUCAUCAUGGCCCUUACGACCAGGGCUACACACGUGCUACAAUGGCAUAUACAAAGAGAAGCGACCUCGCGAGAGCAAGCGGACCUCAUAAAGUAUGUCGUAGUCCGGAUUGGAGUCUGCAACUCGACUCCAUGAAGUCGGAAUCGCUAGUAAUCGUAGAUCAGAAUGCUACGGUGAAUACGUUCCCGGGCCUUGUACACACCGCCCGUCACACCAUGGGAGUGGGUUGCAAAAGAAGUAGGUAGCUUAACCUUCGGGAGGGCGCUUACCACUUUGUGAUUCAUGACUGGGGUGA
rnacentral:rRNA from 1 species